rnacentral:rRNA from 1 species
UAAGGAAUAUUGGUCAAUGGAGGCAACUCUGAACCAGCCGUGCCGCGUGCAGGAUGAAGGCCCUAUGGGUCGUAAACUGCUUUUAUACCAGAGAAAACCCCAGUACGUGUACUGGGUUGAUAGUAUGGUAAGAAUAAGCAUCGGCUAACUUCGUGCCAGCAGCCGCGGUAAGACGAAGGAUGCAAGCGUUAUCCGGAUUCAUUGGGUUUAAAGGGUGCGUAGGCGGACUUGUAAGUCAGUGGUGAAAUCUCUCAGCUUAACUGAGAAACUGCCAUUGAUACUGCAGGUCUAGAGUAUAGAUGACGUUGGCGGAAUAUGACAUGUAGUGGUGAAAUACUUAGAUAUGUCAUAGAACACCGAUUGCGAAGGCAGCUAACGAAACUAUAACUGACGCUGAGGCACGAAAGUGCGGGGAUCAAACAGGAUUAGAUACCCCCGUAGUCCCUGAGCGGGCUGGCAAGGCGCAU